AGAAGCUCCUCCUUCCUUCUCCCCGUCCCCGGGGGCGGGCUACUGGGGUGCAGAGAAGGGGUGGCGGUGCCGCGCGUGCGCAGGGCUGUGUUUCCUUCUAGCACCUUAAGGUGUGAAUCUGUGGUGGCUUCAGAUGAUCUGAAUCCCAGCGUCUCCCACCCCCUCUUCGCAUUCCCAGCUCCACACGUUCCCAUCUCUGUUCCCGUGCCUGCCAUGAGCACUUGUGCUGCCUCUCGCUUCAGCAGCGAGGCAUUGCCAACAAGGCUUAUUUGGGCUGUACAGGUGAGUCUGUCUCGA
rnacentral:lncRNA from 1 species